CCUACGGGAGGCAGCAGUGAGGAAUUUUCCGCAAUGGGCGAAAGCCUGACGGAGCAAUACCGCGUGAGGGAUGAAGGAUUUUGGUCUGUAAACCUCUUUUCUCAAGAAAGAAGUUCUGACGGUACUUGAGGAAUAAGCAUCGGCUAACUCCGUGCCAGCAGCCGCGGUAAUACGGGGGAUGCAAGCGUUAUCCGGAAUGAUUGGGCGUAAAGCGCCUGUAGGUUGUUUAUUAAGUCCGUUGUUAAAGCCUAGGGCUCAACCCUAGAAAAGCAAUGGAAACUAGUAGACUAGAGUAUGGCAGGGGUAGAGGGAAUUUCUAGUGUAGCGGUGAAAUGCGUAGAUAUUAGAAAGAACACCGGUGGCGAAAGCGCUCUACUGGACCAUUACUGACACUCAGAGGCGAAAGCUAGGGUAGCAAAAGGGAUUAGAUACCCCUGUAGUCCUAGCCGUAAACGAUGGAUACUAGAUGUUGUGCAUUAUGUACAGUAUCGUAGCUAACGCGUUAAGUAUCCCGCCUGGGGAGUACGCUCGCAAGGGUGAAACCUCAAAGGAAUUGACGGCNGNGAAGUGCGAGCGACACGAGGGAGAGG
rnacentral:rRNA from 1 species